GAUGGGCACAUGUGCAUGCAUGUCCAGAAUCUCAACAGGUGCCCAAAGAUUAUGCUGUUCCUGUACCACCAUGUGCUGAUGACAUCGUGUUACCUGAUGGUGUCCCUUCCCCUGGAGCUAGUCUUUCUACAAAGGAAUCUCCUCAGCUGACGGAAAAUAAACGUAGCUGCCAGCAACCGGCUCCCCGGGCA